AAUGAGAAAAAUAUAUAUUAAGUGUUUUUGUAUCUUAAAAGUUCAUGAAAAAACAGAUCUAAACUUGGGUUGAUUUUUUAUUUCGAGUUUUUUUGGUUUUUAAGGUGG